CCUACGGGUGGCUGCAGUGGGGAAUAGUGCACAAUGGGGGGAACCCUGAUGCAGCGACGCCGCGUGGGUGAAGGAGGAUUUCGGGAUGUAAAGCCCUAGCAGCAGGGAAGAAAAAUGACGGGACCGGACGAAGAAGCACCGGCUAAAUAAGUGCCAGCAGCCGCGGUAAUACGUAUGGUGCAAGCGUGAUCCGGAUUUACUGGGUUUAAAGGGAGCGCAGGCGGCGCGUUAAGCCGGGGGUGAAAGUCCGCGGCCCAACCGCGGGACUGCCUUGGGAACUGGCGCGCUGGAGUGCCGGAGGGGUAGGCGGACUUCCUAGUGUAGCGGUGACCUGCGUCGAUAUUAGGAGG
rnacentral:rRNA from 1 species